GUACUUCCUUUGGCUGCACAUAUACUAAAAUUGGAACAAUAAAGAACAGAUUAGCAUGGCCCCUGCACAAGGAUGACACACAAAUUGAUGAAGUGUUCUAUAUAUUU